CUUUCUUUGACUAUGUUGCUGUUGUUGGUUGCAGUGAUGACUUUUUCAGGUUGACAUAAAAAGAAUUAAAUAGAACAUCACAGCAAAUUGUCAUACAUGUUGUUUUGUGUAACUAUGAACAUUGUUAUUGGCUGUUUUAAACUGUAAAAUUGUUUUAUUUAUUCCUACAGCUGUCAUUGCCAUUUACUCUGUGAUCAAAAUUGCAUGGUGGAGAAAGAAACUACAUUUUAUAAGUUUAGCAUGUUUUUCUCAUUGUUUAAUUUUCUUAUUCAAAGGAUAUAAUAUUUAUAAAUAGGUAACAGAUGAACAAUGACUCCACUGAACUGCAUAUAUCUUCUGAUAUUACUUUUGGUAGAAAGGGGAGGUAACUCUCAUAAAUUGUUUGCUUGGACAGCUUUAUGUUUUUCUUUUCUUUUAAGUACAUCCAGAGUAUAAGAAUAUUUUUAAAAUUAAAUACCUUUGAGCUUUGAUAUAGACAUACAAUACCGCCCAAAAGCAAAUUUAGUAUGUGAAGGCGCCUAGAGAACAUGGAGAGUAAUUGAAGAGAGGGUGAAACCAGUGUGACGUCUACAGCUGGGGUGGCCAUCCUCUGAUGCGCAAGGCUACAGGUCGUCCGAGCUUUCAGUGAACAUAGUUCAGCCAGCGUGGUGAAAUGCAGACGGCCUUGCCUUACUUUUCCCGGCAAGGUGUUUGACCUUGUUUGCUCAGUGAUCAGAAGCUAAACACAUGAUUAGGUUCACCAGUUAUAUAGACCUGCAUUCACGCAUGAGAGGUGGCGCAUGCGAUGGUAUAGGCCCACUCAUACUCUUUCUUUUAUCAAACGCUAUUUUUUCUAAUGACAUUCUUAGUGAAAUAAACCAUAAAGUGAUGAAAUCUUAACAA